UUAGCUUUACUUGAAGAUAACAAAUCUGCUUAUGACCAGAUAAUAAAAUACCAGCAAGCUCAUCUAGCUGCAGCCAGCGAGGUCUGAAUGCCGAGUUCUCUAAAGAAAGAAUAGGAAAAUCCUUAGCGAUCUUGAAACUUUUCAGUUCAAAAAGACAUAGUAGUACAGUAGCAUUUUGAGCUAAAGAAAUCUUUAAAUAAAGAAAACUUGCAAUCUGGAAACUUUUCAGUUCAAGAAGGCAUAGUAGUAUAGUAACAUUUUGAGCUGAAGAAAUCUUUAAAUAAGGAAAACUUGCUUUGGUGAUGUCCUUGUGUAGGAAUUGCAAAUAAUAAUUCCAAAUUUUUAUUAUACUUUGAAAAAGGAAGCAUCCAUUAUUACAGCACGAAGAUAUGAGAAAACCAAGCCUAUAAGAAUCUAAUCUGUCAUUUACAACAUAGUAGUGGUACCUGAAAUUAAAAUGUACCAAGACAUGAAAAUUUCACUUUUGCCUUAGAGGACUACAUACAGAAUUCUGAGAUGAUGUGGGAAGAAAGAUCACCGAGCUAUUUCAGAUCCUGUAAAUUGAAGGUUGUUUCAUAUCCUGCAGCCGAAAUAACAUAAAGCAAAAGCAGUAAAAUUAUAAUUAGACCGUCUAAGUUAAAUAGGUAAAUGUGCAGCGAGAAUGUUGAAAAAACAAAGACGCCGCUCAAAUCCCCUCGUAUCCACAAAUUCACAAGCUAACUGCACAUUAUAGGAAGUACUUUGCAUUGAGGAAAAAUGAUAAUUGCUUCGAUAGUUCGGUAGACGCAAAAUUUUAUGGAUAUUUGCUCACAUAUCUAAAUGCCAUGCUUCUUGUGCUUCAUAUGUAGCUAAAAUUCCUUGUGAUGUUUUCUAGAACAAGGAACAAAUCAUGUUUCUUGUGGGCCUUGAGAACUCAAAUGUAAUAUGUGCCAUUGUCAUCAUGUUUUUCGUAUCCACAAAAUAUAUAGAGUUAACAUAAUAGUAAGAUGGUUUAGUUAUAGUUGGUCGGAUUUGCCUUUAAAUCAAUUUAACACUAUGAAUGACUUGAAAUAGUCUAAUGCUCCAGAUACAGUUUCAUUUGUUGGGAUUGGAAUUCAAAUUAAAGGGAAUAGGAUGUGAGCAUCAAGAAGGUGAGAACAUAUCCUCCAAUUCACAGAUUCACUUAUUUUCUUCAGUAGAGAUAUGUUUCUCAGCUUCUCCAAAUACCAUGUGACAUGAAUUUACGAUUAAAUAUCAUGAGAUCAAGGACAAUGUAAAUCUAGUGUUCAAUGACGUACCUGACAGGAAGGUCAGGGAACUGUACCACCAAGCCCCAUGCCAGUAUAGUUUCUAGCAUCUCGACUCUUUCCCGUGAUAUUGAAAAGCUCGACAUCAAAAUUAAAUAACAUCAAAAAAUAUUUUUUAUCAGGCUUGACUCCAUGAU
rnacentral:lncRNA from 1 species